rnacentral:rRNA from 1 species
UACGUAGGUGGCGAGCGUUGUCCGGAUUUACUGGGCGUAAAGGGAGCGUAGGCGGACUUUUAAGUGAGAUGUGAAAUACCCGGCUCAACUUGGGUGCUGCAUUUCAAACUGGAAGUCUAGAGUGCAGGAGAGGAGAAUGGAAUUCCUAGUGUAGCGGUGAAAUGCGUAGAGAUUAGGAAGAACACCAGUGGCGAAGGCGAUUCUCUGGACUGUAACUGACGCUGAGGCUCGAAAGCGUGGGGAGCAAACAGGAUUAGAUACCCGGGUAGU